rnacentral:rRNA from 1 species
GACCUCAAAUCAGGUAGGACUACCCGCUGAACUUAAGCAUAUCAAUAAGCGGAGGAAAAGAAACUAACAAGGAUUCCCCUAGUAACUGCGAGUGAAGCGGGAAAAGCUCAAAUUUAAAAUCUGGCAGUCUUUGAUUGUCCGAGUUGUAAUCUAGAGAAGUGUUAUCCGCGCUGGACCGUGUACAAGUCUCCUGGAAUGGAGCGUCAUAGAGGGUGAGAAUCCCGUCUUUGACACGGACUACCAGUGCUAUGUGAUGCGCUCUCAAAGAGUCGAGUUGUUUGGGAAUGCAGCUCAAAAUGGGUGGUAAAUUCCAUCUAAAGCUAAAUAUUGGCGAGAGACCGAUAGCGAACAAGUACCGUGAGGGAAAGAUGAAAAGAACUUUGGAAAGAGAGUUAAACAGUACGUGAAAUUGCUGAAAGGGAAACGCUUAAAGUCAGUCGCAUUGUCUGAGAAUCAACCUUGCUUUUGCUGGGUGUACUUUUCAGAUAAUGGGUCAACAUCAAUUUUGACCGUUGGAUAAAGUCUAAGGGAAUGUGGCAUCUUCGGAUGUGUUAUAGCUUUUAGUCGCAUACAACGGUUGGGAUUGAGGAACUCAGCACGCCGCAAGGCCGGGUACUUGUACCACGUUCGUGCUUAGGAUGUUGGCAUAAUGGCUUUAAUCGACCCGUCUUGAAACACGGACCAAGGAGUCUAACAUGCCUGCGAGUAUUUGGGUGGAAAACCCGAGUGCGUAAUGAAAGUGAAAGUUGAGAUCUCUGUCAUGGAGAGCAUCGACGCCCGGACCAGACCUUUUGUGACGGAUCUGCGGUAGAGCAUGUAUGUUGGGACCCGAAAGAUGGUGAACUAUGCCUGAAUAGGGUGAAGCCAGAGGAAACUCUGGUGGAGGCUCGUAGCGAUUCUGACGUGCAAAUCGAUCGUCAAAUUUGGGUAUAGGGGCGAAAGACUAAUCGAACCAUCUAGUAGCUGGUUCCU